rnacentral:rRNA from 1 species
AUUGAACGCUGGCGGCAUGCUUUACACAUGCAAGUCGGACGGCAGCACAGAGAAGCUUGCUUCUUGGGUGGCGAGUGGCGAACGGGUGAGUAAUAUAUCGGAACGUACCGAGUAAUGGGGGAUAACUAAUCGAAAGAUUAGCUAAUACCGCAUAUUCUCUGAGGAGGAAAGCAGGGGACCUUUGGGCCUUGCGUUAUUCGAGCGGCCGAUAUCUGAUUAGCUAGUUGGUGGGGUAAAGGCCUACCAAGGCGACGAUCAGUAGCGGGUCUGAGAGGAUGAUCCGCCACACUGGGACUGAGACACGGCCCAGACUCCUACGGGAGGCAGCAGUGGGGAAUUUUGGACAAUGGGCGCAAGCCUGAUCCAGCCAUGCCGCGUGUCUGAAGAAGGCCUUCGGGUUGUAAAGGACUUUUGUCAGGGAAGAAAAGGCUGUUGCUAAUAUCGACAGCUGAUGACGGUACCUGAAGAAUAAGCACCGGCUA